GAUGAACGCUGGCGGCGUGCCUAAUACAUGCAAGUCGAGCGAACAGACGAGGAGCUUGCUCCUCUGACGUUAGCGGCGGACGGGUGAGUAACACGUGGAUAACCUACCUAUAAGACUGGGAUAACUUCGGGAAACCGGAGCUAAUACCGGAUAAUAUAUUGAACCGCAUGGUUCAAUAGUGAAAGACGGUUUUGCUGUCACUUAUAGAUGGAUCCGCGCCGCAUUAGCUAGUUGGUAAGGUAACGGCUUACCAAGGCGACGAUGCGUAGCCGACCUGAGAGGGUGAUCGGCCACACUGGACCUGAGACACGGUCAAGACUCCUACGGGAGGCAGCAGUAGGGAAUCUUCCGCAAUGGGCGAAAGCCUGCCGGAGCAACGCCGCGUGAGUAAUGAAGGUCUUCGGAUCUUAAAACUCUGUUAUUAGGGAAGAACAAAUGUGUAAGUAACUAUGCACGUCUUGACGGUACCUAAUCAGAAAGCCACGGCUAACUACGUG
rnacentral:rRNA from 1 species